GCUGGGUGUGGUGGUGCACUCCUAUAGUCCCAGCUACUUGGGAAGCUGAGGUGGGAGGAUCACUUUAGCCUGGGAGGUCAAGGCUGCAGUGAGCCAUGAUCAUGCCACUGUACUCUAGCCUGGGCCACAGAGUAAGACCCCAUCUCAA
rfam:Gorilla gorilla gorilla genomic chromosome, chr5, whole genome shotgun sequence